GAUGAAGAACGUAGCGAAAUGCGAUAAGUAAUGUGAAUUGCAGAAUUCCGUGAAUCAUCGAAUCUUUGAACGCACAUUGCGCCCUCUGGUAUUCCGGGGGGCAUGCCUGUCCGAGCGUCAUUGCAAACCCUCAAGCCCGGCUUGUGUGAUGGGUCCCGCGUCCGCCUCCCGGGGCGGACGGGCCCGAAAUGCAGUGGCGGCACCGCGUCCGGUCCUCGAGCGUAUGGGGCUUCGUCACCCGCUCUUGUAGGCCCGGCCGGCGCUUGCCGACACAUCAAUCUUUUUUCCAGGUUGACCUCGGAUCAGGUAGGGAUACCCGCUGAACUUAAGCAUAUCAAUAAGCGGAGGA
rnacentral:misc_RNA from 1 species